AGUGAAAUCUACUGUAGCAUCUGGACGUAUCCACAGCUGUGUUACUGGGUUUAACCAUUCCCCAAGUUGGAUGCUCCUCCAUCACCAUCUACGUUUUCCCAGUAAUUUAAUAGAGAAAAUCCUUGUCUACAUUCACCCUGUGACACCAUCUUCCUCAUUUGGAUGAAUAAACCUUGUCUCCACAUUGUACCCUGUGCUUUUUCAAUUUCAAAAGUUCUGUGUCAUCUUUGCCUGGCGUGCAGAUCUUUACCAUCACUGCUUCUUUCCAUU